UACGAGGGGGGCGAGCGUUGUUCGGAAUUAUUGGGCGUAAAGGGUGCGUAGGCGGUUUGGUAAGUCUUGUGUGAAAUCUCCAGGCUCAACUUGGAGUCUGCACGAGAAACUGCCGGGCUUGAGUGUGGGAGAGGUGAGUGGAAUUCCUGGUGUAGCGGUGAAAUGCGUAGAUAUCAAGAGGAACACCAGUGGCGAAGGCGAGUCCCUGGACAACUUCUGACGCUGAGGCACGAAAGCUAGGGGAGCAAACAGG
rnacentral:rRNA from 1 species